rnacentral:rRNA from 1 species
ACAGGUGCUGCAUGGCUGCCGUCAGCUCGUGUCGUGAGAUGUUGGGUUAAGUCCCGCAACGAGCGCAACCCUUAUCCCUAGUUGCCAUCAGGUAAAGCUGGGAACUCUGGGGAGACUGCCGGUGAUAAACCGGAGGAAGGCGGGGAUGACGUCAAAUCAUCAUGCCCCUUAUGACCUGGGCUACACACGUGCUACAAUGGGCGGUACAAAGGGUCGCGAACCCGCGAGGGGGAGCCAAUCCCAAAAAGCCGCUCUCAGUUCGGAUUGCAGGCUGCAACUCGCCUGCAUGAAGCCGGAAUCGCUAGUAAUCGCGGAUCAGCAUGCCGCGGUGAAUACGUUCCCGGGCCUU